GAGAGCAGAGAACGAAANUAGAACAACUUUGAGCGGUGGAUCACUCGGCUCGUGCGUCGAUGAAGAGCGCAGCCAGCUGCGUGAAUUAAUGUGAAUUGCAGAACACAUUGAACAUCG
rnacentral:rRNA from 1 species